rnacentral:lncRNA from 1 species
AGUGGAUUGGGGUGGGCCUUAAGUCAAAUGAAAGCAUCCUUUCAAAGGACCAAAAAGAUCAUCUAGUAACACAUGAAGAUAGAGGCAGAGACUGAAGUGAUGCAGCCACAAACCAAGGGAUGCCAAGAGUGACCAGAAGUUCCUGCCACUGGCAGGAAAAGGACCCUGCCAACACCCUGAUUCCCAACCUCUGCCCUUCAGACCAAGGUUCUGUUGCUUUAAGAUACUAAGUUUGUGACAGUUGGCUGAAAUGACCAAUUGUACAUUUCAUAUAUUUUACUACAAUACAUAAAUAAAGAACCCAUGAAAGUAGAGUCCAGGUGAGAAAUCCUGAUGAGUUUGGGCACGAAGGUGAUGUGUGGACUUGCAUCUCUUGCAGGCUGAGCACCAUCAUUAUCCCUCUCUCACCAGUUCCUGGGCUCCAGCCCACAGGCCUCACUCACCCAGCUGGAAUUAAGGUUAAAGGGCUUUUCAGCAAGGAGCAAAAGGCUGAAAAGAUGACCCCAUCUGCUUGGGCUGGCCACUCCACCUGGGACCCUGCCUCAGCACAACCUUUG